rnacentral:misc_RNA from 1 species
AUCACUAAUCAAGCCUGGCUUGCGGUUGGACUUCUUGUCGGUAAAAGACAGGUCCAAAAGAUAAUGACGGUGUUAAUUGGCCCCUAGAUGCAACGAGCUUUUAUUAGCACGCAUCUCAGUUGGACUUUUUAACCCGGUCUUAUAUAACCAUUUCUCUAAAGGUUGACCUCGGAUCAGGUAGGAAUACCCGCUGAACUUAA